AAUCCCAUGCCCAAACAUAAUGCAACGCGGUGACAUCGCGCUAUUGCGCCAUUUUGCGACUACUUGGCGGUCUUUUUUUGAAUCGGCAUCAAUUUAUCAGGCGGCCUGCAGUGCACUUACAGCUCGAACUGUGAAGCCAUAUUGUUGUAAGGUUGAUGACAAAUGAGGUCAUGGCCUGUUUCAGUAUGAAGUGGGGGAAGGGGAAGCUUGCCUUCACCAAGAUCAACCUGUACACUGUUGUCACAGAGAGUGUCCAGAAAACAUCAAAAGAGACGGGGCAAAUAUUGCAGCGGCCACCGCCUUUUGUUUAAAAUAUGCCCCAGCAGAGCCGUCACAAGGAGGGUGAGAGGCCCUGUGCAAAGUUGACAUGCGAGGCCCUCUACAAUUUUGCGUGUGUGCGUGCGUGCGUGUGUGUGUGUGUGGUGGGGGAGGUUGCUGUAGUAAGGCAAGGCAAGUUUAUUUAUAUAACAGAUUUCGUACACAAUGGUAAUUCAAAGUGCUUUACAUAAA